rnacentral:rRNA from 1 species
UACGUAGGGGGCAAGCGUUGUCCGGAAUCAUUGGGCGUAAAGCGCACGUAGGCGGAUCGUUAAGUCAGGGGUGAAAUCCUGGAGCUCAACUCCAGAACUGCCUUUGAUACUGGCGACCUUGAGUUCGGGAGAGGUGAGUGGAACUGCGAGUGUAGAGGUGAAAUUCGUAGAUAUUCGCAAGAACACCAGUGGCGAAGGCGGCUCACUGGCCCGAUACUGACGCUGAGGUGCGAAAGCGUGGGGAGCAAACAGG